rnacentral:rRNA from 1 species
CCUANGGGGGGCUGCAGUGGGGAAUAUUGGACAAUGGGCGCAAGCCUGAUCCAGCCAUGCCGCGUGGGUGAAGAAGGCCCUAGGGUUGUAAACCCCUUUCAGCGGGGAAGAUAAUGACGGUACCCGCAGAAGAAGCCCCGGCUAACUCCGUGCCAGCAGCCGCGGUAAUACGGAGGGGGCUAGCGUUGUUCGGAAUUACUGGGCGUAAAGCGCGCGUAGGCGGAUUUGCAAGUCGGGGGUGAAAGCCCGAGGCUCAACCUCGGAACUGCCUUCGAUACUGCAAAUCUCGAGUCCGGGAGAGGUGAGUGGAAUUCCUAGUGUAGAGGUGAAAUUCGUAGAUAUUAGGAAGAACACCAGUGGCGAAGGCGGCUCACUGGCCCGGUACUGACGCUGAGGCGCGAAAGCGUGGGGAGCAAACAGGAUUAGAUACCCCANUANUC